rnacentral:rRNA from 1 species
CCAAGAAGUCCAACAUGUGCGCGAGUCAUUGGGUCCUACGAAACCUAAAGGCGUAAUGAAGGUGAAGGCAGGUUCGGCCUGCUGAGGUGAGAUCCCCGUCCUCGGGCGGGGCGCAUCACCGGCCCGUCUGUAAAGGCGGAGCAAGAGCGCACACGUUGGGACCCGAAAGAUGGUGAACUAUGCCUGAGCAGGAUGAAGCCAGAGGAAACUCUGGUGGAAGUCCGUAGCGAUUCUGACGUGCAAAUCGAUCGUCGAACUUGGGUAUAGGGGCGAAAGACUAAUCGAACCAUCUAGUAGCUGGUUCCCUCCGAAGUUUCCCUCAGGAUAGCUGGCGCUCGUCCUAACAGUUUUAUCCGGUAAAGCGAAUGAUUAGAGGCCUUGGGGACGAAACGUCCUCAACCUAUUCUCAAACUUUAAAUGGGUAAGGAGUCGGACUCGCUUGAUUGGAGUCCGGACUGGAAUGUGAGUGCCAAGUGGGCCACUUUUGGUAAGCAGAACUGUCGCUGUGGA